rnacentral:rRNA from 1 species
UAGAGCGGCGGACGGGUGAGUAACACGUGGACAAUCUGCCCCCCGGCCCGGGAUAGCCCAGGGAAACCUGGAUUAAUACCGGAUGAGGCGGGACCCGCGAUGGCGGGACCCGGGAAAGGCGCUGCGGCGCCGCCGGGGGAUGAGUCUGCGUCCCAUUAGCUAGACGGCGGGGUAAGGCCCACCGUGGCGACGAUGGGUAGCCGGCCUGAGAGGGUGACGGCCACAUUGGAACUGAGACACGGUCCAGACUCCUACGGGAGGCAGCAGCUAAGAAUCUUCCGCAAUGGGCGAAAGCCUGACGGAGCGAACCGCCGCGUGAACGAAGAAGGCCGUGAGGUUGUAAAGUUCUUUUCGGGAGGGGGAACAACCGUGGCAGGGAAUGGCCGCGGGAUGACGUGAAUCCCGGAAUAAGCCCCGGCUAACUACGUGCCAGCAGCAGC